GGGACAACAGCCAGAAAUGGCUGCUAAUACCGCAUAAGCCUGCUGUGCCGCAUGGCACAGCAGGGAAAACCACGGUGGUACAGGAUGGGCCCGCGUCUGAUUAGUUAGUUGGCAGGGUAACGGCCUACCAAGACAACGAUCAGUAGCCGGCUUGAGAGAGUGGACGGCCACAUUGGGACUGAGACACGGCCCAGACUCCUGCGGGAGGCAGCAGUGGGGAAUAUUGCACAAUGGGGGGAACCCUGAUGCAGCAAUGCCGCGUGGGUGAAGAAGCACUCCGGUGCGUAAAGCCCUGUCAGCAGGGAAGAAAAUGACAGUACCUGGACAAGAAGCCCCGGCUAACUACGUGCCAGCAGCCGCGGUAAUACGUAGGGGGCAAGCAUUAUCCGGAUUUACUGGGUGUAAAGGGAGCGCAGGCGGCGUGGCAAGUCAGAUGUGAAAACCCGGGGCCCAACCCCGGGAGUGCAUUUGAAACUGCCAUGCUGGAGUGCCGGAGAGGUAAGCGGAAUUCCUAGUGUAGCGGUGAAAUGCGUAGAUAUUAGGAGGAAUACCAGUGGCGGAGGCGGCUUACUGGACGGUAACUGACGCUGAGGCUCGAAAGCGUGGGGAGCAAACAGGAUUAGAUACCCUGGUAGUCCACGCCGUAAAC
rnacentral:rRNA from 1 species